rnacentral:misc_RNA from 1 species
AAGUCGUAACAAGGUAACCGUAGGUGAACCUGCGGUUGGAUCAUUAACAAAACUUUAUUGAUUUUUCCUUCCCUCACUUUUUUGUGGGGGGAAAAAGGGAAAUCUCUUUAACACUUUCCUUAAGUGUGAAAAAAAAAACUGUUUUGUUGGUGCGGGUAACGGAUUUUUUUAUUAAAGUCUUAAUGAGAAAAGGGUUACCUUUUUUCAGGCCCUCACCAAUUUUUUUUAAACUCUUUUUUUUUAACUUUAUUGCCUUUAAUUUUUAAAUUUAUUUUAAUUUGAAAAACAACUUUUAACAACGGAUCUCUAGGCUCUCA